rnacentral:tRNA from 1 species
ACCGGGAAUGGUUAGAGGCCAAAUCGGCCUUUGGGUGGCAAGCGGGGUUCGAUUCCCCGCCCCGGUACCA